CCUUCGGGAGGGGAUUAGUGGCGAACGGGUGAGUAACACGUGGGCAAUCUGCCCUGCACUCUGGGACAAGCCCUGGAAACGGGGUCUAAUACCGGAUACGACACACUCCCGCAUGGGAUCCGUGUGGAAAGCUCCGGCGGUGCAGGAUGAGCCCGCGGCCUAUCAGCUUGUUGGUGAGGUAACGGCUCACCAAGGCGACGACGGGUAGCCGGCCUGAGAGGGCGACCGGCCACACUGGGACUGAGACACGGCCCAGACUCCUACGGGAGGCAGCAGUGGGGAAUAUUGCACAAUGGGCGCAAGCCUGAUGCAGCGACGCCGCGUGAGGGAUGACGGCCUUCGGGUUGUAAACCUCUUUCAGCAGGGAAGAAGCGAGAGUGACGGUACCUGCAGAAGAAGCGCCGGCUAACUACGUGCCAGCAGCCGCGGUAAUACGUAGGGCGCAAGCGUUGUCCGGAAUUAUUGGGCGUAAAGAGCUCGUAGGCGGCUUGUCGCGUCGGUUGUGAAAGCCCGGGGCUUAACCCCGGGUCUGCAGUCGAUACGGGCAGGCUAGAGUUCGGUAGGGGAGAUCGGAAUUCCUGGUGUAGCGGUGAAAUGCGCAGAUAUCAGGAGGAACACCGGUGGCGAAGGCGGAUCUCUGGGCCGAUACUGACGCUGAGGAGCGAAAGCGUGGGGAGCGAAC
rnacentral:rRNA from 1 species